UUAUAAGGGGGAUUAACCAGUGGGAAACGGAUGGGUAAUACCGGCAUAAGCGCCCGGGUAUGCCAGGUACCGGGGGAAAAAACUCCGGUGGGUAAAGGAAGGACCCCGCGUUUGAAUAGGUUAGUUGGUGGGGGUAACAGCCACCCAAGGCGACGAUCAGUGCCCGACUUGAGAGGGUGACCGGCCACAUUGGGAAUGAGACACGGCCCAAACUCCUACGGGAGGCAGCAGUGGGGAAUAUUGCACAAUGGGGGAAACCCUGAUGCAGCGACGCCGCGUGAGCGAAGAAGUAUUUCGGUAUGUAAAGCUCUAUCAGCAGGGAAGAAUAAAUGACGGUACCUGACUAAGAAGCACCGGCUAAAUACGUGCCAGCAGCCGCGGUAAUACGUAUGGUGCAAGCGUUAUCCGGAUUUACUGGGUGUAAAGGGCAUGCAGGCGGUCGGACAAGUAGGAUGUGAAAUCCUGGGGCCCAACCUCAGAACUGCAUUCUAAACUGUCCGACUAGAGUAUUGCAGGGGGAGACGGAAUUUCAGGUGUAGCGGUGGAAUGCGUAGAUAUCUGAAAGAACACCAAAGGCGAAGGCAGUCUCCUGGGCAAAUACUGACGCUCAUAUGCGAAAGCGUGGGUAGCAAACAGGAUUAGAUACCCUGGUAGUCCACGCCGUAAACGAUGUCAAUUAGGAGCUUGGACUUAAGUCUGGGUUCCGUAGCAAACGCAAUAA
rnacentral:rRNA from 1 species